AGAGAGACACUGCGCGACAGAGAGAGAGCGAGAGAGAGGAAAGGGAGAUAGUCAAUGGCAUUAUUAAAGGAGGGGUGGACGCUGUUGAUCCUUGACGUCAUGCUGUGGAAUGGAACGGUGGGAGUGACUUUAGUGCUCGUGCUGCAGCAGCAGGCGGAGAUAGAGACAGAAUGACGGCAGGCGGAUGAGAGGAGCACAGACCCCGUCUGGACGGGCAUGUUUAUCACACAGGGAAAAUUAAAACACGAAACACACAGAGACACAAAGGACCAGUGGGGAUUAAACAAAUAAUGACGGGAGACAGUGACUUAAAAUACACGUAACCGGUGUUCCCUCCAUCAUGUCUGCCGGUGAAACGAUGGAUUAAAGAGUAGAGCCGUUGUGUGUGAUGCCAGACACAAGCAUGCCUCAGAAAGGGCAUCUAACAACCCCACUGUGAUCAGAUAGAAAUGACAGUGUGAAGGCUGGCGUCCACUAAGGUGACC